ACCCUUGUUGGACGACGAACUCAUCGGCUACAUCAUGGCCGGUCUAGUGCCAGAGUAUGAUGCGCUCAUGGUCUCCUUGAUUGUCUUCAAGGGACAGAUCUCUCUCAGCGAGUUCUACGCUCUCCUCCUCAGCUAUGAGA